GUGAGGAAGGCAGACCCAGGGAACUGAAACAUCUAAGUACCUGGAGGAAGAGAAAGAAAAAUCGAUUUCCUGAGUAGCGGCGAGCGAAACGGAAAGAGCCCAAACCAAGAAGCUUGCUUCUUGGGGUUGUAGGACACUCUAUACGGAGUUACAAAAGAAAGUUAUAAAUGAAGCGGUCUGGAAAGGCCCGCCAAAGACGG
rnacentral:rRNA from 1 species